rnacentral:tRNA from 1 species
GCCUGGCUGGCUCCAUUUGUAGAGCAUGUGACUCUUGAUCUCAGGUUUAUGGGUUCAAGCCCCAUGUUGGGCA